CCUACGGGUGGCAGCAGUGGGGAAUCUUCCGCAAUGGGCGCAAGCCUGACGGAGCAACGCCGCGUGAGUGAAGAAGGUCUUCGGAUCGUAAAGCUCUGUUGACGGGGACGAACGUGCGGAGUGCGAAUAGCGCUUUGUAAUGACGGUACCUGUCGAGGAAGCCACGGCUAACUACGUGCCAGCAGCCGCGGUAAUACGUAGGUGGCGAGCGUUGUCCGGAAUCAUUGGGCGUAAAGGGAGCGCAGGCGGGCCGGUAAGUCUUACUUAAAAGUGCGGGGCUCAACCCCGUGAUGGGAGAGAAACUAUCGGUCUUGAGUACAGGAGAGGAAAGCGGAAUUCCCAGUGUAGCGGUGAAAUGCGUAGAUAUUGGGAAGAACACCAGUGGCGAAGGCGGCUUUCUGGACUGCAACUGACGCUGAGGCUCGAAAGCCAGGGGAGCGAACGGGAUUAGAUACCCCAGUAGUC
rnacentral:rRNA from 1 species